UACGAGUGCCCCAAGCGUUAUCCGGAAUUAUUGGGCGUAAAGGGUGUGUAGGUGGUUUUGCUAGUCCUCUGUCAAAUUCUUCGGCUUAACCGGGGGUCCGCAGGGGAAGCGGCAAGACUUGAGGAUGCGAGGGGUGAAUGGAACUCAUAGUGUAGGGGUGAAAUCCGUUGAUAUUAUGGGGAACACCAAAAGCGAAGGCAGUUCACUGGCGCAUUCCUGACACUGAAACGCGAAAGCGUGGGUAGCGAAUGGG
rnacentral:rRNA from 1 species